CACACAAAACCGGGAAAGCUUCAUCUCGAAAAAAAAAACGAGCAGCUCCCUCCUUCCACACGCCCAAAUGUUGGCCACCGCCGCCUGCCGCGGGCCAGCGCCGGCGCUCCCCGCCGCGAGACCCGGCGGCGGCUGCCUCCUUGGCCGGGUCCGCAUCUCCAGGCGGAGGGCGCCGACGAGCAGGAGAAGCGCGGUGGUGCGGUGCGGGCUGCUCCCCGUGGACCCGUGGGCGCCCACCAUGGACUCGCAGAGCAUCGCGUCGCAGCUCUUCGCCGUCUCGCUGUUCCCCUACCUCGGCUUCCUCUACUUCAUGACCAGGUCCAAGACGGCGCCCGGCCUCACGCUCUUCGGCUUCUACUUCCUCCUCGCCUUCGUCGGCGCCACCAUACCUGCUGGGAUAUAUGCCAAAGUUCACUAUGGGACCUCUCUUUCUAAUGUGGACUUGCUACAUGGGUCAGCAGAAUCGUUACUUACACUCACCAAUCUGUUCAUCGUGCUGGGGCUGAGGGGGGCUCUAAGAAAGCUGAAGGAUGGAGAGGAGAGCAAUUCCGAAGCUUCCCAGGACAACAAGGAAAAGAGUUCUGUCUAGAUGCUCUCGUUAGCUUCCCAGACCGUGCUUGUAAAUCAUUGAGGAUUGCUUUCGGGUCUGAAUCUCUGGCUGGAAAAACUUGGUCGGAUUCAAGAACUCGUCGAGCUGAGCCUCGAAGUCCAUGUCAGUCCCAAGGCCGGCAGCCGCAGCGUAGCCAUAGCUACCGGCAUGCUGGUACCAGGAGCUUGUUGGCGGGCAGCAGCCGUCCAUGGCCGCGGGUGGCUCUGCCGCCCACCAAUGCAUCCCUUCCUGCGUCCCAGCCGGCGAGCCCUGCUCCUGGCCGGAGGCAGGUGGCUGCUGCUCCGGGCUGAUCAGACGCGACGGCACGUCGGCCUUGGAGCAGGUGUGGUCGCCGUGGUACACGACGUCGAAGAGCAGAGGAUCGCCGGCGGCGCGCUGCACCUGCUUGGUGGCCUGGCAGCCCCGGGUGUGCCGGUGCGUGCACCGGAAGUACGCCCUCGGGUACGGGGCGCCGAGGAUGUCCUUCUGGCCGUACUUCCGCCAGCUGAGCCCGUCGUCGAGCGGCGCCGUGUCCUGCACCGACGCCACCCGCACCUGCCUUCUGGUCCUCGCCGCCGUGGCCGCCUUCCUGCUGCUGUUCCUCGGCUGGCCACUGUUCUUACCGGCGCCGGCAUUGCCACCGCCGUAGCCGGCUAGGCAGACGGCCCUGUCGACGGACGCGGCCAGCGCGCCGCAGAGCUCCCUCGCGGCGGCCGGCGCGUCGUUGUUGUCGACCUGCGCACCCAGCUCCCUCGCCAUCGCCUGUAGCCGGUCCAGCUCCGAUGCUAGCACCAUGUCCUCCAUGCCCGGUACUCGGCUGGACUUGAUCGAUCGAUCAGUGUUGUCUCAUGAGAGUGUAUGCGCGUUCGUGGGUUUGUUCUUGUGAUGAUUGGUGUGGCUUUGACGGGGAGUCGUCGGGUCGUGAGGUUUUAUAGUGCUGGACUGAGUACGGUACGAGCUACUGUUCUUGGCUGGGAAUUGAUCAGUCUCGAGGUUUGACUGAAGACCGUUGAAAAGUUUGUGACUAACAUAACACAAGAGAAUAAUACA